rnacentral:rRNA from 1 species
UACGAAGGGGCUAGCGUUGCUCGGAAUCACUGGGCGUAAAGGGUGCGUAGGCGGGUCUUUAAGUCAGGGGUGAAUCCUGGAGCUCAACUCCAGAACUGCCUUUGAUACUGAAGAUCUUGAGUUCGGGAGAGGUGAGUGGAACUGCGAGUGUAGAGGUGAAAUUCGUAGAUAUUCGCAAGAACACCAGUGGCGAAGGCGGCUCACUGGCCCGAUACUGACGCUGAGGCACGAAAGCGUGGAGGCAACAGG